ensembl:lncRNA
GCCAAGCAGCAAGGUGUGAGGGGAGAGGAGGUGCUCCAGGCAUGGGGAGCUGUAGCCUGUCAGAAGGGCCCAAAGCAUGGGGAGGAAACAGGCAGAGGGAAGCUGUUGUUUUCACUGAUUCUCACUAGCAAGCAUAUUUUCACUGCCCACAUAUUAUUAAGCCUUUUACCCAAGUCUAUUUUGCUGGUAAUGGUGCUUGGAAUUGAGUCUAGUGAAGUGCAGUUCUCAAUCCGAUGAAGAAAUCGUUUCUGAAGUUUGGAAGCUAAUCCUUUCCAAAGGCGGUGAACUCCUGUGGGGAGAUAAAAGCAUGCUAGGUCCUGAGGGAGAAGAACAGAAGGAUAGAAAAAGCAUCAUUUUUGAGUGUAGUCUUUGCACAUCACACAAGAGUUUUUUCAGGGCAUAUAACAGAAAGACAACAAAAUAUUUUGUUUCUUCGUUGAAGUCUUUCCUGUGGCUGGAAAGAAGACACAAGCCUUUUUCCCCUACCUGAUAACUAAUGAAUCUUCCUCACCCUGAAAAACCUCAAACCAAGAAAAAGGCAGAAAGUCUUUCAAGUGAGAACUGAGAUUUCCUCACCAUUCUGUUUUUUGGUUAUUAAUAUUUCAAUAGCAGACAGACUGCAAGACCUUGUUUUUACUUUGUGAUGUGCAAAUAAGGAUACCAAGGACAUUUGAUUUCGGUCUGUCCUGCCAGGAAAAGGAGUGCUGUAACAGUUGAUAGCGGCUCUUUCCUCCCAGGGUGCUCCCUGGCGAGGCAGUGGUGCGCCGAGAGCUGUGCAAGCUGAGCCUGCAAGGCUCCAACCCUGUACUUGACAAGGGUGUGAUGAGCCCUUCCAGUUUCAUGGGAGAGAACAUCCUCACACUUGGAGCUGGAGAAGCCCUGGGAUUUCCCCGUCCUAGGCUAUAGCUUCGUUGACAAGCUUAUUUUUCACUUUAGCAUAGUAAAUAGAGUGUAUCUCCUGCUUGGUGAUGAUUCAUCUCUAAUUAUGUUUAAUAAUUAGAAUUCCAUGCUUGUCUGCUGCUUCCUCCGUGCUCUGCCAAAGCGAGUAAGCUCUGCUCUGAACAGCUCCAUCUGUUGGCACCACAUCUCCACAG